CAGAUUGUGACAGUAUGAAGCCACUGGAGGGUGUGAGAAUUCUGGAUCUAACAAGAGUUCUGGCUGGACCUUUUGCCACGAUGAAUUUAGGAGAUCUGGGAGCAGAAGUUAUAAAAGUGGAGAGACCAGGAGCUGGUGAUGACACACGAUCUUGGGGACCUCCUUUUGUGAACACAGAAAGUACAUAUUUUCUUAGUGUUAAUCGAAAUAAAAAAAGUAUAGCUGUUAAUAUCAAGGAUCCAAGAGGAGUGAGAAUCGUCAAAGAGCUUGCAGCCAUUUGUGAUGUGUUUGUGGAAAACUAUGUCCCUGGGAAGCUUUCUGAGAUGGGCCUAGGAUAUGCAGAUAUAGAUAAGAUUGCGCCUCACAUCGUCUACUGCUCCAUCACAG
rnacentral:lncRNA from 1 species